rnacentral:rRNA from 1 species
CCUACGGGAGGCAGCAGUGGGGAAUUUUGCGCAAUGGGCGAAAGCCUGGCGCAGCAACGCCGCGUGAAGGAUGAAAUCUUUCGGGAUGUAAAMUUSGCAAGUGUGGGAAGAAAUCAAUGCGUC